rnacentral:ncRNA from 2 species
AAAAUAGCAUAGCUUUAAGGUGCCCCUUUGUGGGGAGAAUAGGGAAGUCCGGUGAGAUUCCGGCGCGGACCCGCCACUGUAAGGGGGAUGUUCCUUACAAGAGCCACUGGAAAAACCGGGAAGGCGUAAGGAAAAAUGAACCCGAGCCAGGAGACCUGCCUUAAAGCAAUACCGGUG